ACUCCUACGGGAGGCAGCAGCAAGGAAUCUUCCGCAAUGGGCGAAAGCCUGACGGAGCAACGCCGCGUGUGGGAUGACGCCUUUCGGGGUGUAAACCACUUUUCUCAGGGAAGAAGCACUGACGGUACCUGAGGAAGAAGGACCGGCUAACUACGUGCCAGCAGCCGCGGUAAU
rnacentral:rRNA from 1 species